rnacentral:rRNA from 1 species
GAUGAACGCUGGCGGCGUGCCUAAUACAUGCAAGUCGAGCGAACGGACGAGAAGCUUGCUUCUCUGAUGUUAGCGGCGGACGGGUGAGUAACACGUGGAUAACCUACCUAUAAGACUGGGAUAACUUCGGGAAACCGGAGCUAAUACCGGAUAAUAUUUUGAACCGCAUGGUUCAAAAGUGAAAGACGGUCUUGCUGUCACUUAUAGAUGGAUCCGCGCUGCAUUAGCUAGUUGGUAAGGUAACGGCAUACCAAGGCAACGAUGAAUAGCCGACCUGAGAGGGUGAUCGGCCACACUGGAACUGAGACACGGUCCAGACUCCUACGGGAGGCAGCAGUAGGGAAUCUUCCGCAAUGGGCGAGAGCCUGACGGAGCAACGCCGCGUGAGUGAUGAAGGUCUUCGGAUCGUAAAACUCUGUUAUUAGGGAAGAACAUAUGUGUAAGUAACUGUGCACAUCUUGACGGUACCUAAUCAGAAAGCCACGGCUAACUACGUG